AGCAGACAGCACCAGCCAGCUUGUCCUUGGAAACGGAGAAUAGACCCACCUCCUUAUGUCCUCCAGGCAGCAAGAGUUCAGAAACUCGUCCACCAGCAAAACGAGUCUGGGCAACCGAUGAUUUCCACACGGCAUCAAAUUCUCCACCUAAAAAGCCUUUCCACAACACAAAUGAAGAACUACUGACAGAGGAGCUACAG